AGCUUUGCGCAGUGGCAGUAUCGUAGCCAAUGAGGUUUAUCCGAGGCGCGAUUAUUGCUAAUUGAAAACUUUUCCUAAUGCUAAGCAAACAUCUCCUCAGUAACAACCCAUUAUGGAGUUAGACUUACACAAAAAUUUCUUUAAGCAGCUAAAACUA
ensembl:snRNA U4 U4 spliceosomal RNA